rnacentral:piRNA from 1 species
UGAAAAGCUUCUUUCUCUUGGUCAGUUC